AUUAAGAAUUAAGAAUCGCUUACGGAGCAGAAAUGAUCAGGAACACCUGGAAACAUUCAUGUUAAGGGCCACAGAGAAAGACAUCCUCAUAAUAGUGCCCUUCUUAAGAAACUUAUACUUCCCCAACAUUACAUUUGCUUACAUUAUAUUUGAAUAGUUAUAAGUUAUAGUAUAUAAUAACUAACACUCUCAGUGUAGUUUUGGUAUAGGCCUACACUA